AGUGAACGCUGGCGGUAGGCCUAACACAUGCAAGUCGAACGGCAGCACAGGAGAGCUUGCUCUCUGGGUGGCGAGUGGCGGACGGGUGAGGAAUACAUCGGAAUCUGCCCAGUCGUGGGGGAUAACGUAGGGAAACUUACGCUAAUACCGCAUACGACCUUCGGGUGAAAGAGGGGGAUCGCAAGACCUCUCGCGAUUGGAUGAGCCGAGGUCGGAUUAGCUAGUUGGCGGGGUAAUGGCCCACCAAGGCGACGAUCCGUAGCUGGUCUGAGAGGAUGAUCAGCCACACUGGAACUGAGACACGGUCCAGACUCCUACGGGAGGCAGCAGUGGGGAAUAUUGGACAAUGGGCGCAAGCCUGAUCCAGCCAUACCGCGUGGGGGAAGAAGGCCUUCGGGUUGUAAAGCCCUUUUGUUGGGAAAGAAAUCUUUCAGGCUAAUACCCUGGGAGGAUGACGGUACCCAAAGAAUAAGCACCGGCUAACUUCGUG
rnacentral:rRNA from 1 species